rnacentral:rRNA from 1 species
UAACACAUGCAAGUCGAACGGUAACAUUUCUAGCUUGCUAGAAGAUGACGAGUGGCGGACGGGUGAGUAAUGCUUGGGAACUUGCCUUUGCGAGGGGGAUAACAGUUGGAAACGACUGCUAAUACCGCAUAAUGUCUUCGGACCAAACGGGGCUUAGGCUCCGGCGCAAAGAGAGGCCCAAGUGAGAUUAGCUAGUUGGUAAGGUAACGGCUUACCAAGGCGACGAUCUCUAGCUGUUCUGAGAGGAAGAUCAGCCACACUGGGACUGAGACACGGCCCAGACUCCUACGGGAGGCAGCAGUGGGGAAUAUUGCACAAUGGGGGAAACCCUGAUGCAGCCAUGCCGCGUGUGUGAAGAAGGCCUUCGGGUUGUAAAGCGCUUUCAGUUGUGAGGAAAAGUUAGUAGUUAAUACCUGCUAGCCGUGACGUUAACAACAGAAGAAGCACCGGCUAACUCCGUGCCAGCAGCCGCGGUAAUACGGAGGGUGCGAGCGUUAAUCGGAAUUACUGGGCGUAAAGCGCACGCAGGCGGUUUGUUAAGCUAGAUGUGAAAGCCCCGGGCUCAACCUGGGAUGGUCAUUUAGAACUGGCAGA